rnacentral:lncRNA from 1 species
UGCCACCGAGGGGCGUGGUUUGCUGCUGAGGGGUGGGGCUUGAUUGCCUCCCUGUUUCCUUUCCAUGGGGCUGCCCAAGAGGAAGUUGGUGCAGGGUGGGGGGGAGUGGGGCUGGAUACAAGGGGGUGUGGCCUGAUGAAGGGGGUGUGCCCUCAUCAAGCCCCACCCCCUAGGGCAUUUCCUUGCUGGGGAAACUUAGUGCUGACAGCAAUAGUGUUGGUGUGGGGGGGAGGGAGUGAGGGGGAGGAGCCUGCCGCCGGUGGGUGGGGCCUGCCGCCCAGGGGGCGUGUCCCAGUGAGGCCCCGCCCCUUUCACGCUUGCUCUUCCACCCCCCCCUGCAGGGCUGCCGAACGCGGGGAAGUCGUCGGUGCUGAACGCGCUGGCGGGGCGGCCGGUGGUGCGGGUGUCGCGGGCGCCCGGGCGCACCCGCUACUUCCAGACCCACUUCGUGUCGGCCACCGUGCGCCUCUGCGACUGCCCGGGCCUCGUCUUCCCCUCGCGCGCCCCCCCGCCCCUCCAGGUGCUGGCCGGCGUCUACCCCAUCUCGCAGCUGCAGGAGCCCUACACGGCCGUGGGCUACCUGGCGGCGCGGCUGCCGCUGCCGGCGCUGCUGCAGCUCGGCCCCCCCACCGCCGGCGCCUGGACCGCCUGGGACAUCUGCGAAGCCUGGGCCGAGAAGCGAGGCUACAAGACGGCCAAGGCGGCUCGCAACGACGUCUACCGGGCGGCCAACAGCAUCCUGCGCCUGGCGGCCGAGGGGCGCCUGCGCCUCUGCCUGCCCCCCCCCGGCUACGCCGCCCGCAGAGGUAGGGGCCCAGGCGUCCGGGCGAUUUUUCCCCCCCACCCCCACGGCUCCCGCUUGGCCUAGGGGCCCAGGCGUCCGGGAGGCAGCGGCAGUGGGCCUCCCCGGACGCCUGGGCCCUUUCUCCCCCCCCGCAGAGUACUGGGAGCAGCACCCCGAGGCGGCGGCGCUGGAGGCCCUGCUGGCUCAGAGGGACCCAGGCGUCCGGGCCCCCCCCGCGGAGGUCUCCAGCUCCGAAGAGGAGGAGGAGGAAGACAGCGAGGAGGAAGAGGAGGAGGCGGAGCCUCAUGGGGCCCUGCUCCCUGCUGGCCCUGCCCCCAACCCCUUUGCCCUGCUGGGGGAGGAUGAGUGCUAGCCCCGCCCCCCCGAGGGGGUGGAGCCAAAGGGGGCUCCCCACCCCCAGCAUCAUUCCAACACUAUAUAUGGAAUAAAGCGAGGUUUAUUUCUGCUGUUAUCUCA